UGCCCCUGUAACCCAAUUGGAAGAGGUGCCAAACUUAAAAUUUGGAAGUUGCUGGUUCAAAUCCAGUCAGGGGUAUC
rnacentral:tRNA from 1 species